AGAGUUUGAUCCUGGCUCAGAUUGAACGCUGGCGGAAUGCUUUACACAUGCAAGUCGAACGGCAGCACGGGUGCUUGCACCUGGUGGCGAGUGGCGAACGGGUGAGUAAUGCGUCGGAACGUACCGAGUAAUGGGGGAUAACGCAGCGAAAGUUGUGCUAAUACCGCAUACGCCCUGAGGGGGAAAGUGGGGGACCGCAAGGCCUCACGUUAUUCGAGCGGCCGACGUCUGAUUAGCUAGUUGGUGGGGUAAAGGCCUACCAAGGCGACGAUCAGUAGCGGGUCUGAGAGGAUGAUCCGCCACACUGGGACUGAGACACGGCCCAGACUCCUACGGGAGGCAGCAGUGGGGAAUUUUGGACAAUGGGUGCAAGCCUGAUCCAGCCAUGCCGCGUGCAGGAAGAAAGCCUUCUGGGUUGUAAACUGCUUU
rnacentral:rRNA from 1 species